rnacentral:rRNA from 1 species
GUCCAGACUCCUACGGGAGGCAGCAGUGAGGAAUAUUGGUCAAUGGUCGGGAGACUGAACCAGCCAAGCUGCGUGAGGGAUGAAGGUACAGAGUAUCGUAAACCUCUUUUGUCAGGGAACAAAGGCGGGGACGCGUCCCCGGAUGAGUGUACCUGAAGAAAAAGCAUCGGCUAACUCCGUGCCAGCAGCCGCGGUAAUACGGAGGAUGCGAGCGUUAUCCGGAUUUAUUGGGUUUAAAGGGUGCGCAGGCGGUCUGUAAGGGCCGGGGACAAAGCCGGGGGCCCACCCCCCGCCCGCCGUUGAAACUGGCAGUCUCGAGUUGGAGAGAAGUAUGCGGAAUGCGCGGUGUAGCGGUGAAAUGCAUAGAUAUCGCGCAGAACUCCGAUUGCGAAGGCAGCAUGCCGGCUCCACACUGACGCUGAGGCACGAAAGCGUGGGUAUCGAACAGGAUUAGAUACCCGGGUAU